rnacentral:rRNA from 1 species
AUUGAACGCUGGCGGCAGGCCUAACACAUGCAAGUCGAGCGGAUGAAGGGAGCUUGCUCCUGGAUUCAGCGGCGGACGGGUGAGUAAUGCCUAGGAAUCUGCCUGGUAGUGGGGGAUAACGUCCGGAAACGGGCGCUAAUACCGCAUACGUCCUGAGGGAGAAAGUGGGCGAUCUUCGGACCUCACGCUAUCAGAUGAGCCUAGGUCGGAUUAGCUAGUUGGUGGGGUAAAGGCCUACCAAGGCGACGAUCCGUAACUGGUCUGAGAGGAUGAUCAGUCACACUGGAACUGAGACACGGUCCAGACUCCUACGGGAGGCAGCAGUGGGGAAUAUUGGACAAAGGGCGAAAGCCUGAUCCAGCCAUGCCGCGUGUGUGAAGAAGGUCUUCGGAUUGUAAAGCACUUUAAGUUGGGAGGAAGGGCAGUAAGUUAAUACCUUGCUGUUUUGACGUUACCAACAGAAUAAGCACCGGCUAACUUCGUG